rnacentral:rRNA from 1 species
AAACCUAAAGGCGGAAUGAAAGUAAAGGAAGCUUGCUUCUGAGGGAAGAUGGGCGUUUAGCUUUUUUAAGCGGCGCCCCGCACUCCCGGGGCGUCUCUUUCUCAUUACGAGUGGAGGCGCACCUAUAGCGCACACGCUGAUACCCGAAAGAUGGUGAACUAUGCCUGGCCAGGACGAAGCCAGGGGAAACCCUGGUGGAGGUCCGCAGCGAUUCUGACGUGCAAAUCGAUCGUCGGAGCUGGGUAUAGGGGCGAAAGACCAAUCGAACCAUCUAGUAGCUGGUUCCCUCUGAAGUUUCCCUCAGGAUAGCUUGCGCUCGGCGAGAUGAGUCUCAUCCGGUAGAGCGAAUGAUUAGAGGCCUUGGGGUCGAAACGACCUCAACCUAUUCUCAAACUCCAAAUAGAUGAGAUCCCCGGCUUGCUUGAAAGUGAAGCCGGGACUCGGAUCAGAGUGCCAAGUGGGCCAAUUUUGGUAAGCAGAACUGGCGCUGUGGGAUGAACCAAACGCAGAGUUAAGGCGCCUGAAUCGACGCUCAUGUGAAACCAUGAAAGGCGUUGGUUGCUUAAGACAGCAGGACGGUGGCCAUGGAAGUCGGA